rnacentral:snRNA from 1 species
ACCCGCUUGAACCACCAUUUU